rnacentral:rRNA from 1 species
UACAGAGGGGGCAAGCGUUGUUCGGAAUUACUGGGCGUAAAGGGCGCGUAGGCGGCCUUCUAAGUCGAACGUGAAAUCCCCGGGCUCAACCCGGGAACUGCGUCCGAUACUGGAAGGCUUGAAUCCGGGAGAGGGAUGCGGAAUUCCAGGUGUAGCGGUGAAAUGCGUAGAUAUCUGGAGGAAUACCAGUGGCGAAGGCGGCUUCUUGGCCUAUUCUUGACGCUGAGGCGCGAAAGCUGGGGGAGCAAACGGG